rnacentral:rRNA from 1 species
GACGAACGCUGGCGGCGUGCUUAACACAUGCAAGUCGAACGAUGAAGCCUUUCGGGGUGGAUUAGUGGCGAACGGGUGAGUAACACGUGGGUAAUCUGCCUUGCACUCUGGGAUAAGCCUGGGAAACUGGGUCUAAUACCGGAUAUGACUACUUCACGCAUGUGGGGUGGUGGAAAGUUCUGGCGGUGUGAGAUGAACCCGCGGCCUAUCAGCUUGUUGGUGGGGUGAUGGCCUACCAAGGCGACGACGGGUAGCCGGCCUGAGAGGGCGACCGGUCACACUGGGACUGAGACACGGCCCAGACUCCUACGGGAGGCAGCAGUGGGGAAUAUUGCACAAUGGGCGAAAGCCUGAUGCAGCGACGCCGCGUGA